rnacentral:rRNA from 1 species
GCCUACGGGGGGCAGCAGUAGGGAAUAUUGCUCAAUGGGGGAAACCCUGAAGCAGCAACGCCGCGUGGAGGAUGAAGGUUUUCGGAUUGUAAACUCCUUUUGUUAGAGAAGAUAAUGACGGUAUCUAACGAAUAAGCACCGGCUAACUCCGUGCCAGCAGCCGCGGUAAUACGGAGGGUGCAAGCGUUACUCGGAAUCACUGGGCGUAAAGAGCGCGUAGGCGGGAUAGCAAGUCAGAUGUGAAAUCCUAUGGCUUAACCAUAGAACUGCAUUUGAAACCGUUACUCUAGAGUAUGGGAGAGGUG